CAAGAGAAAUUAUGGCGCUGAGAAACCCGGGCGGUGUAAAGGCCGCAAUCAGAGAAAUCCUCUCUCUCUUUAAAGAGGGAAGCGUAUUCCGCGAUGCAACUUUCUUAGCCACUAACUGCUUCUGCGGCUUCCACGUCAUCAACACCCACCUCUGCACUGUAGCUCUGACCCACGGUCCCAGCAUGCUCCCGACUCUUGAUCUCGCAGGCAAUCUGGUCCUGGCCGAGCGCAUCUCGACCCGGUUCGGGCUGGUGGGCCCGGGCGAUAUCGUCCUCUUACGGUCGCCUGAGAAUCCGAGGAGCGUCGUAAGCGUCGUGACCAAGCGCUUGAUUGGCUUGGAAGGUGACUCUGUUACCUACUUUGUGGAGCCUGGGAAGAGUGAUAGGCGUGAGACCCUUGUGGUUCCAAAGGGACAUGUUUGGAUAGAGGGAGACAAUAUGUAUGUUUCAAAGGAUUCAAGGAAAUACGGGGCGGUUCCUUAUGGUCUUCUUGAAGGAAAAAUCUUCUGGAGGAUAUGGCCUCCUAAAGAUUUUGGUUCAUUGAGGAAUAGAAGCGUGAAGGAUUCAGCCUCGGAUAAGGGUUUGUCUUCAGCUGAAGGAAUCUCAAAAGUCUAGAAAAGACAUUUGAAGCUCAAAACAAAAAUUUUAGGAAAUAUCAGGGUUGUUGCGCCUGACUAAUCCUGGUGUGAGUACAAAUCAUAAAUUGAAGCAUAUUCCGCGGCUAAAAUUUUGCAAAGAUUGGAUGAAGGCGCCUCCAAUAGAGUUGUUUUACAUCAAUGCAUUUUCGGUUUUUUCGUUAACAUUUCCGUUACGAGCUUAACUCAGGAUUUUUAGGAGCACAUGCUUAAUUCUGAUAUCCGGUUUCAAGGUGAAACGGGAAACUUUCACCCUUUACAUGGUUCAAUGGUGAUAAAUCGCUGCAGCGCAAUAUCUCAAUUUCAAAUGUGCUUCAAGGAAACGACUAUCUCAGACAACUGAGAAUCGUCUUAAACAAAAUGUGGAUGCAUAUUUGGUAAUCCAGGAUAAUUGAUUGGAACAUGUUGGGUUCUUAUGAAAUAUGAUGCAUAGCAAAGUCCUGCACAUGGAUAAGUAAAAUUGUAGUGGAUUCCAUGUUGUGUUUUCUCUAGUCCAUGUUAGAGAAUUCACAUGUCAUGUUUAACCAAGUCAAAGCAUUUUCUUUUUUUUUUUUUUUUUGAUAAAAUCGUUGAACUUAUCUUUAAAGUAUAUAAGUUUGAAUUUUUACUCUUUUACU